rnacentral:rRNA from 4 species
UGACAACCGUUAGCGGUGGAUCACUCGGUUCGUGU